rnacentral:rRNA from 1 species
UACGGAGGGGGCUAGCGUUGUUCGGAAUUACUGGGCGUAAAGCGCACGUAGGCGGCUUUGUAAGUUAGAGGUGAAAGCCUGGGGCUCAACUCCAGAAUUGCCUUUAAGACUGCAUCGCUUGAAUCAUGGAGAGGCGGGUGGAAUUCCGAGUGUAGAGGCGAAAUUCGUAGAUAUUCGGAAGAACACCAGUGGCGAAGGCGGCCCGCUGGACAUGUAUUGACGCUGAGGUGCGAAAGCGUGGGGAGCAAACAGG